GGAAAACUUAUUUCAAGGGAGGAAUUUGACAACAUUAUGGCCAAGGAAAAGACUGAACAAAUUGAGUCGACGGAGAUGGAUGAAGCUAGGGCCAAAGCUGUUGACAUUGGAGAAAAUGAUGAUGAAGAGGAUAGUGAUGUUGACGGAGAGGAAGAGGGAGAAGAAGAGAAGCUUAGUGAUUAUUGGAUUGUGUUGAAAAGUACUCCUGAGCUUCACCAGUCAAAG